CCCUUAGAUGUCCGGGGCUGCACGCGCGCUACACUGAAGGAAUCAGCGUGCUAAAACCAUUGUCGAAAGGCAUUGGUAAACCCAUUAAAAUCCUACGUGAUUGGGAUCGGGAAUUGCAAUUAUUUCCCUUGAACGAGGAAUUCCCAGUAAGUGUGGGUCAUAAGCUCGCGUUGAUUACGUCCCUGCCCUUUGUACACACCGUCCGUCGCUGCCCGGGACUGAGCCGUUUCGAGAAAAGCGGGGACUGCUGCUGUCGGGGCUUUCGGGCCUUGGCUUCGGUGGAAACCGCUUUAAUCGCAGUGGCUUGAACCGGGCAAAAGUCGUAACA
rnacentral:rRNA from 1 species